AGUGCAGGCACAGCCACCGUGACUCUCUGCUGGGAGGUUAACAGCUCCAUCAGUUCAGGGACUGCCUGACCCAGCCUGACCAAAUUAGAGAGAAAGAAUUGUGCCAUGAAAAAUGGAAAACUCCUGAGAAGCUGUUCCAGCGUCAGGAGAGCAGCAGACAAGCUGGACUGGGGAAGAUUCUUCCUGCAAGACCUGCAGAGUGUAUGACACAUAACCAGCACCCAAGAAAUGUCUACCGAGGAAUUAAUGAAUGAGGGUCCCAUACUUCCUAGCCAUGCUGUUGGCAGGGAUUAACAUCAUUGCAAUUCUCUGGGUAGACCUUGGGAGGUUUAAACCAACCAGUGACCCCUAUCAUCCUAGCUCCAGAGAUUGGCUUAGGGAUAGUCACCCAAUGCAGGCCAAUGCAAGGUGACUUUGCCAGGGGCUUCUGGGAAAGAAGUUUCCUUUCUCUGAGGAAAUGUGAAUGAGGACAUCCA
rnacentral:lncRNA from 1 species